UACAGAGGUCCCGAGCGUUGUUCGGAUUUAUUGGGCGUAAAGGGUGCGUAGGCGGCGGAGUAAGUUGGGUGUGAAAUCCCGGGGCUCAACCCCGGACGUGCACCCGAAACGACGGCGCUGGAGUGCUGGAGAGGCGGGCGGAAUUCCCGGUGUAGAGGUGAAAUUCGUAGAUAUCAGGAGGAACACCGGUGGCGAAGGCGGUUCUCUGGGCCUGUACUGACGCUGAGGAACGAAAGCGUGGGGAGCGAACAGG
rnacentral:rRNA from 1 species